rnacentral:rRNA from 1 species
UGGCGGACGGGUGAGUAAUGUCUGGGAAACUGCCCGAUGGAGGGGGAUAACUACUGGAAACGGUAGCUAAUACCGCAUAAUGUCGCAAGACCAAAGAGGGGGACCUUCGGGCCUCUUGCCAUCGGAUGUGCCCAGAUGGGAUUAGCUAGUAGGUGGGGUAACGGCUCACCUAGGCGACGAUCCCUAGCUGGUCUGAGAGGAUGACCAGCCACACUGGAACUGAGACACGGUCCAG